CUGUGAUUUGAUGAUUUCUUGUCAGAUUAAUAUUAGAUUAGGGAAAAGAUUAGAUUAGGGUUAGAGGUUAGGAUUAUUAGUCGAUUAUUAGGACUAUGAAUUAACAAAUUACGGUACAGUAAUUCUAAAGUCACUGUAAAAUGGUAUUCAGAGCUGCCAAGUUGAGAUGAUUAAAAACCUGGAGGUUGCUGGGGCCUUUAGUUCGUAGUUCGUACCCCCCCCCCCUUGCAGCGAUAGCCAGACAGAGUAGCGCAGGCAAUAUUUAAUACUGAAAAAUUUUAAUCAAAUUAUGUAUAAAUUGUUGACUUUAUAUUAUUGUUGACCGGGCAUGCUCGGAGAACCAGAUUGCUAUAUAUGCGUUUUUUUCAGAGCAUAGAUGCAGAAUCCAUGCAUAGAGAUUUUCCGUGAGAUUUUCAACACCCACCGUGAGACCUGGAGGUCAGCGCGAAAACCUGGAGACUCACGGGUAAACUGUGAGACUUGGCAGCUCUGGGUAUGUCCGGAAUUUUUUGGGGGGAGAAGAUUUUGGGGAGAAGAUUAAUUACCCACCCAAAUCUUGAUCCAUCCAUCACCGGGCCUGGACCCCAUCAGAUGUUGCUCAUUCGUCGUCCUUUUCAAGACCCCAGUAGGUGCCUGUAUUUCCCUGUACUAGAUUGAUCAAUCUCGUUCCCCGAGCCUGCGAUCCUCGGGAAGGAACGUGCAUGAGGCUCUGGGAUAAUCCGUUUCAGGGAGGAAUCUGAUUGGCCGUUGAAAUGAAAUGCGUAGUUCAAUCUUAGCCAGGAUUCCUGGUUUCCGGCAACGGAUUAUCCCAGAGCCUCGCGUUCCUUCCCGAGGAUCGCAGGCUCGGGGAACGAGAUUGUAGAUUGAUUGGAACAGUUUGAAGCCCAUUCUCGUACCCAGAGCCCUUCUUACGCGCGGUGCGACGGGGGGCUCUGGCCAAAUCCAAAACCGGAUACCAUAAAAACAUGGU